GAGGCGCUGCGUUCUGUGUCCAGGACCGUUAAACUGUCAGUUGUGCAGCUGGGCUUCCGUAGCUCAUUCCCCAGCAGGACCUGGGAAUAUGGCGGCCGCUCCAUUGGUGAUCUCUGAGUAAGGUAGACUGCCCUGGAAUUUCCAGAUGAACUCCAGGAAUGGGAUCCUAGAAGUGCUGCUGAGGUUUCUCUACUGUGAGCAAGAAAUGAAGGAGUCUCGGCUACAGUGGCUGCCUGUGACACAGUACAUGGACCAGUAAUCCUUCAAGUCUUCAUCCCUCCAUGCAUCGUGGCCAAUUCUCUGCUUUGAAAAUACUUCAGUCUCCAGUAUGCGAGUCUCACUGUCCCACAAAUAAUUCUGGCAAGAAGGACUCCUCUGUGUGUACCUGAACAUCUUCGAAGCCACCACACUGAUCCUCCUGUGAACACAGAAAGAGCCAGGAUCCUGGGUUUGUUCAUCUUCUCAGACUCAUCCUGUGGUGCCCAGCUUAGAUUGUUCAUAUGGAGUCGGACAGGGCUCAGCAACCCCCCCCCAAAAAAAAAAUAAAGACUUGUUAGCCCUUCUCAACUGCGAGGUCUGGCAGGGCCCGUUAC